UACAGAGGUCUCGAGCGUUGUUCGGAUUCAUUGGGCGUAAAGGGUGUGUAGGUGGCGCGCUAAGUCGGGUGUGAAAUUUCGGAGCUUAACUCCGAAACUGCAUUCGAUACUGGCGUGCUUGAGGACUGGAGAGGAGACUGGAAUUCAUGGUGUAGCAGUGAAAUGCGUAGAGAUCAUGAGGAAGACCAGUGGCGAAGGCGGGUCUCUGGACAGUUCCUGACACUGAGACACGAAGGCCAGGGGAGCAAACGGG
rnacentral:rRNA from 1 species